CCGAGUUAUCAACUCCCAAACCCCUGUGAACAUACCUGAACGUUGCUUCGGCGGGACCGCCCCGGCGCCCUCGGGCGUCCCGGAACCAGGCGCCCGCCGGAGGACCCAAACUCUUGUUUUCAAUUAGCGGAUUGCUCUGAGUCUCAAAAAAAUAAAUGAAUCA
rnacentral:misc_RNA from 1 species